UUCCCUUUUAUGCAGAUAUGCAAUAGCAAGCCCUUCCGUGUGUUCCAAAGACAAUGCCUACGCCUAGCCACAGCAGCUCCCUCAUACAGACUCCGCAAGCCAAGAGGCCGUGGAGGCAAAUGCAGGCAGCCAGCACACCCCGAACAGCCACCUUGACUGCGGGUGUGUCACCCUAGUCACCAAGGAAACAUUUGAGGGAAAGCGACAGGCAAUGUGAACAGCCACUUCUCCACGUAAACAAUACUCUUUCUCUCGGAUGACUCCUACGCUUCGCCACGCCAGCACACUUGUGCACAAAGAUGCUGCGGAGGCACGUGCAGGUCAGAGGCAAGAAGCAGUGGCACUGGCGUCGACAUUCACCUUCUUUUUCUUACACUGAGGCUGCCAGCACACCUCGAACAGCCACCUUGACUGCGGGUGUGUCAGUAGAUUCCUGUUGUACAUAUGCUCACAAUAAACUUCAGUAAACUUGAACUUGAUAAUAAACUUAAA
rnacentral:lncRNA from 1 species